rnacentral:rRNA from 1 species
UACAGAGGUCCCAAGCGUUGUUCGGAUUCACUGGGCGUAAAGGGUGCGUAGGUGGUCGGGUAAGUCUGAUGUGAAAUCUCCGAGCUUAACUCGGAAAUGGCAUUGGAUACUAUUUGACUGGAGGGUUGGAGGGGGACUGGAAUUCUCGGUGUAGCAGUGAAAUGCGUAGAUAUCGAGAGGAACACCAGUGGCGAAGGCGAGUCCCUGGACAACUCCUGACACUGAGGCACGAAAGCUAGGGGAGCAAACAGG